UACGGGGGAUGCAAGCGUUAUCCGGAUUUAUUGGGUUUAAAGGGUGCGUAGGCUGUGAGGUAAGUCAGCGGUGAAAUGCCCCCGCUCAACGGGGUGAAGUGCCAUUGAUACUGCCUUGCUGGAAUGCGGAUGCCGUGGGAGGAAUGUGUGGUGUAGCGGUGAAAUGCAUAGAUAUCACACAGAACACCGAUUGCGAAGGCAUCUCACGAAUCCGCGAUUGACGCUGAUGCAUGAAAGCGUGGGUAUCAAACAGG
rnacentral:rRNA from 1 species